rnacentral:rRNA from 1 species
UACGGGAGGCAGCAGUGGGGAAUAUUGCACAAUGGGCGCAAGCCUGAUGCAGCCAUGCCGCGUGUAUGAAGAAGGCCUUCGGGUUGUAAAGUACUUUCAGUCGUGAGGAAGGUGUUAAGGUUAAUAACCUUAGCAAUUGACGUUAGCGACAGAAGAAGCACCGGCUAACUCCGUGCCAGCAGCCGCGGUAAUACGGAGGGUGCGAGCGUUAAUCGGAAUUACUGGGCUAAAGGGCACGCAGGCGGUUAAUUAAGUUGGAUGUGAAAUCCCCGGGCUUAACCUGGGAAUGGCAUUCAAGACUGGUUAGCUAGAGUCUUGUAGAGGGGGUAGAAUUCCGAUGUGUAGCGGUGAAAUGCGUAGAGAUGUGGAGGAAUACCGGGUGGCGAAGGCGGCCCCUGGGACAAAGACUGACGCUCAUGUGCGAAAGCGUGGGGAGCAAACAGGAUUAGAUACC